rnacentral:rRNA from 1 species
UACUCCUACGGGAGGCAGCAGUAGGGAAUCUUCCACAAUGGACGCAAGUCUGAUGGAGCAACGCCGCGUGAGUGAAGAAGGGUUUCGGCUCGUAAAGCUCUGUUGUUAAAGAAGAACGUGGGUAAGAGUAACUGUUUACCCAGUGACGGUAUUUAACCAGAAAGCCACGGCUAACUACGUGCCAGCAGCCGCGGUAAU